ensembl:lncRNA
ACAUAGGUGACAUAUCCAAGUGCUUGUCCUUCAUCAGAUGUUUCUAUAAGCAGCAGAGCAGAAAGCUAUAAUAUGUAUUCAUUCGUAAUGUGUCAUUCUGAAUGUAUUAAGGACAACUGACUACACAUGUCACAGUUGCUGUGGCUAGACCAGUGAGGCGCUCCUGCUCAAAAGCUGAGAGCUCUGCUGACCCUGUUUCUGUCCAGUCAAAACACACCUGUCUUCAAAGAACCAUAUGUUUCACAGGAAGAGUUCAUUCCUCUCCAUACCCAGAAGAAGGCUGAUACCAUGUGUUUCUCUAAACUUGGAUGCAAGGAAGAAGAGUCCAAAGUAUCACCAGGAAAGAAUCUGCAAGGAAUAACCGAGAAGAAAAACUAACAUCUUGCAUCACAGAGAGUUGGCUUCCCCUUCAAACUCUUCCACCAACUUGGAGGGCACCAUCAUGGAAAAAUACAGGAUCCACAUUGCUGUGUCUGCUCAACACUGUUAAAUAUGACAAGAAUAGAAGUGGUUACUGGUACCAGAAGAAAACUGAAAUUCUACAAAUAUACAUCAGGAUCCCACUCUGUCCCACUAUCAUUUUCAGUAAGCACUAUAUUAUGAUACUUUCUCUGUAACAAUAUUAAAUGCACAUGGACUAGCUAUAAUAGAACUCAUCAGCAUCCCAGAUUAGAUUUUAUAUGCCUAAGUCUUUCAUUUGAGUUAGUGUCAAUAUUCAUUGAGUGGUUUCUGCUGUACUGAGCAUCUACCUACCUUUAGUUUCACCAGACCACCUUAGUUCUUCCCAUUCCUUCACAUAUUUUCUUAGUUCUUCCCAUUCCUUCACAUAUUUUCUUAGUUCUUCCCAUUCCUUCACAUAUUUUCUUAGUUCUUCCCAUUCCUUCACAUAUGUCAAGCCCUUAGUUCUUCCCAUUCCUUCACAUAUUUUCCCGUUCCUGGCUUUUAGUCUUUUAUCUGUCUUCACUUCCAGUCACCAUGAGUAUACACUGUCUCCCUGAGCUCUUUUCCCAGAGACUCUCCACUACUAUUCCAAAGGGCCUAAACUUCUAUUCUGUCUGUCAAACAUGGUUAAUACAUGAGUAUUAACGUCCAGUUUUUUAUAUAGUAAUUGAAAGGUUGCCUUCUGUGCACAAGACUGUCCUGCUAGCCUGGAACCCAACUGGAUACAGCAUUUGCCAGACACCUGCUGGGAGCAACAGUGCAGUGAGACAGUGAACUCUGGCACCCAACAGGCAUUUGCCAGGGCCUGAUUUCUGUGAUUCAGGGAUGUACCUUUUAAAGACUCUUCAUCCAACCACAAAUCUUCCCUUCACUCAUCUGCUUGCUUGGAUUCAGGAGAUAGCACUCGGCACAAAGAGACACAUUCCCUAAUAACAUUUUAUUCUUUUCUGUCAACCACCCUCUCCUUAAUUCUCUGCAUGUGGUGAGCUUGGUUAAAGUUUCCUGCUUAUCCACCCUGAGCCCAUAUCCUCACAUCUUUGUUUCUCUUUUUCACCAUUAUCACUCCAAAGAGAUUUUGUUUGUAAUCUUGGUCAGCUCUACAGACUUGUCCUUUGUAAUGGUCUGUAUUAGUAUCUUUUCCUUUCAAUAGCAUCCUGUAGGGUUUUCAAAACUUUUUGAUUUUUAGUUUUUCUUUUGUGACUGUC